rnacentral:rRNA from 1 species
AGUGAACGCUGGCGGUAGGCCUAACACAUGCAAGUCGAACGGCAGCACAGUAAGAGCUUGCUCUUACGGGUGGCGCGUGGCGGACGGGUGAGGAAUACAUCGGAAUCUACUUUUUCGUGGGUGAUAACGUAGGGAAACUUACGCUAAUACCGCAUACGCCCUACGGGUGAAAUCAGGGGAUCUUCGGACCUUGCGCGAGUGUAUGAGCCGAUGUCGGUUUUGCUUGUUGGCGGGGUCACGGCCCACCUAGGCGACGAUCCGUAGCUGGUCUGAGAGGAUGAUCAGCCACACUGGAACUGAGACACGGACCAGACUCCUACGGGAGGCAGCAGUGGGGAAUAUUAGACAAUGGGGGCGAGCCUGAUCCAGCCAUACCGCGUGGGUGAAGAAGGCCUUCGGGUUGUAAAGCCCUUUUGUUGGGAAAGAAAAGCAGCAGGUUAAUACGCCGCUGUUCUGACGGUACCCAAAGAAUAAGCACCGGCUAACUUCGUG